CGAGCGAAACAGAUAAGGAGCUUGCUCCUUUGACGUUAGCGGCGGACGGGUGAGUAACACGUGGGUAACCUACCUAUAAGACUGGGAUAACUUCGGGAAACCGGAGCUAAUACCGGAUAACAUUUGGAACCGCAUGGUUCUAAAGUGAAAGAUGGUUUUGCUAUCACUUAUAGAUGGACCCGCGCCGUAUUAGCUAGUUGGUAAGGUAACGGCUUACCAAGGCGACGAUACGUAGCCGACCUGAGAGGGUGAUCGGCCACACUGGAACUGAGACACGGUCCAGACUCCUACGGGAGGCAGCAGUAGGGAAUCUUCCGCAAUGGGCGAAAGCCUGACGGAGCAACGCCGCGUGAGUGAUGAAGGGUUUCGGCUCGUAAAACUCUGUUAUUAGGGAAGAACAAAUGUGUAAGUAACUNUGCACAUCUUGACGGUACCUAAUCAGAAAGCCACGGCUAACUACGUGCCAGCAGCCGCGGUAAUACGUAGGUGGCAAGCGUUAUCCGGAAUUAUUGGGCGUAAAGCGCGCGUAGGCGGUUUCUUAAGUCUGAUGUGAAAGCCCACGGCUCAACCGUGGAGGGUCAUUGGAAACUGGGAAACUUGAGUGCAGAAGAGGAAAGUGGAAUUCCAUGUGUAGCGGUGAAAUGCGCAGAGAUAUGGAGGAACACCAGUGGCGAAGGCGACUUUCUGGUCUGUAACUGACGCUGAUGUGCGAAAGCGUGGGGAUCAAACAGGAUUAGAUACCCUGGUAGUCCACGCCGUAAACGAUGAGUGCUAAGUGUUAGGGGGUUUCCGCCCCUUAGUGCUGCAGCUAACGCAUUAAGCACUCCGCCUGGGGAGUACGA
rnacentral:rRNA from 1 species